CCGGAAUUGGUGCAACGGCUAACAUUUGCGCCUCUCAUGGGUAAGCAAAGCGGUUAGUUCGCGCUAGCUCGGAGUUCGAUUCCCCGUUUCCGAA